ensembl:snoRNA SNORA70 Small nucleolar RNA SNORA70
CUGCAGCCAAUGAAGCCAACCAGGUUCCUUUCCUCAUGGGGGCCAGGUGUGCAAUGGCUGCAAACAGCAACCUCCUUGGUAAUGCAGCCUGUUGCAUGUAUGGGCUGCUCUAAGGGACCGGGGAGUCAGUC